rnacentral:rRNA from 1 species
CACGUAGGGCGCAAGCGUUGUCCGGAAUCAUUGGGCGUAAAACGCACGUAGGCGGCCUGUUAAGUCGGAUGUGAAAUCCCUCGGCUCAACCGAGGACGUGCAUUCGAAACUGGCAGCUCGAGUAUGGAAGAGGGUCGCGGAAUUCCCGGUGGUAGAGGUGAAAUUCGAUAGAUAUCGGGAGGAACACCAGUGGCGAAGGCGGCGACCUGGGCCAAUACUGA